GGGCCCGCACAAGCGGUGGAGCAUGUGGUUUAAUUCGAUGAUACGCGAGGAACCUUACCAGGGCUUAAAUGGGAGAUGACAGGGGCAGAGACGCCCUUUUCUUCGGACAUCUUUCAAGGUGCUGCAUGGUUGUCGUCAGCUCGUGCCGUGAGGUGUCAGGUUAAGUCCUAUAACGAGCGCAACCCCUACCGUUAGUUGCCAGCGAUUCAAGUCGGGGACUCUAACGGGACUGCCGGUGCAAACCGUGAGGAAGGUGGGGACGACGUCAAAUCAUCACGGCCCUUACGUCCUGGGCUACACACGUGCUACAAUGGUCGGUACAGAGGGAAGCAAGACGGCGACGUUUAGCAAAUCCUUAAAAGAUACCUCAGUUCGGAUUGCACUCUGCAACUCGAGUGCAUGAAGCUGGAAUUACUAGUAAUCG
rnacentral:rRNA from 1 species